CCUACGGGAGGCUGCAGUGAGGAAUAUUGGUCAAUGGACGAGAGUCUGAACCAGCCAAGUAGCGUGAAGGAUGACUGCCCUAUGGGUUGUAAACUUCUUUUAUAAAGGAGUAAAACCAGGCACGUGUGCCUUUUUGCAUGUACUUUAUGAAUAAGGAUCGGCUAACUCCGUGCCAGCAGCCGCGGUAAUACGGAGGAUCCGAGCGUUAUCCGGAUUUAUUGGGUUUAAAGGGAGCGUAGAUGGGUUGUUAAGUCAGUGGUGAAAGUCUGCGGCUCAACCGUAAAAUUGCAAUUGAUACUGGCAGUCUUGAGUAUAGUUGAGGUAAGCGGAAUUCGUGGUGUAGCGGUGAAAUGCUUAGAGAUCACGAAGAACCCCGAUUGCGAAGGCAGCUUACUAAACUAUGACUGACAUUGAUGCUCGAAAGCGUGGGUAGCAAACAGGAUUAGAUACCCUAGUAGUC
rnacentral:rRNA from 1 species